rnacentral:rRNA from 1 species
UGAACGCUGGCGGCGUGCCUAAUACAUGCGCGUCGAGCGAACGGACGAGAAGCUUGCUUCUCUGAUGUUAGCGGCGGACGGGUGAGUAACACGUGGAUAACCUACCUAUAAGACUGGGAUAACUUCGGGAAACCGGAGCUAAUACCGGAUAAUAUUUUGAACCGCAUGGUUCAAAAGUGAAAGACGGUCUUGCUGUCACUUAUAGAUGGAUCCGCGCUGCAUUAGCUAGUUGGUAAGGUAACGGCUUACCAAGGCAACGAUGCAUAGCCGACCUGAGAGGGUGAUCGGCCACACUGGAACUGAGACACGGUCCAGACUCCUACGGGAGGCAGCAGUAGGGAAUCUUCCGCAAUGGGCGAAAGCCUGACGGAGCAACGCCGCGUGAGUGAUGAAGGUCUUCGGAUCGUAAAACUCUGUUAUUAGGGAAGAACAUAUGUGUAAGUAACUGUGCACAUCUUGACGGUACCUAAUCAGAAAGCCACGGCUAACUACGUG